CCAGUUCUGCGGGGUUCGCCACCGAUUCUUCGAUGAUUGAGCCUAUGCCGUAAAUUAGGGAGACCGAUGCCGUUGCCAGUGCGGCCCCUCAUGAGGGAAUCGCCGGAGGCGCGGCUUAUCACAAAGGUCACCCACCUGUUAGCGCAGGGUUCAAUUACGGCUUCGGAGCGGCCGCCGCGGUCCUCCU
rnacentral:other from 1 species